rnacentral:rRNA from 1 species
UACGGAGGAUGCAAGCGUUAUCCGGAAUUAUUGGGCGUAAAGCGUCCGCAGGUGGUUAUCCAAGUCUGCUGUUAAAGCGCGAGGCUUAACUUCGUACAGGCGGUGGAAACUGGGUGACUGGAGUAUGGUAGGGGUAGCGGGAAUUCCCAGUGUAGCGGUGAAAUGCGUAGAUAUUGGGAAGAACACCAGCGGCGAAAGCGCGCUACUGGGCCAUUACUGACACUCAUGGACGAAAGCUAGGGGAGCGAAAGGG